UACGGAGGGCGCAAGCGUUGUUCGGAAUCACUGGGCGUAAAGCGCGUGUAGGCGGCCGGGCAAGUCGGAUGUGAAAUCCCGAGGCUCAACCUCGGAACUGCAUUCGAAACUGCUCGGCUCGAGUCCCGGAGAGGAUGGCGGAAUUCCCGGUGUAGGGGUGAAAUCCGUAGAUAUCGGGAGGAACACCAGUGGCGAAGGCGACUACCUGGCCUGUUCUUGACGCUGAGGCGCGAAAGCUAGGGGAGCAAACGGG
rnacentral:rRNA from 1 species